AGAGUUUGAUCAUGGCUCAGGACGAACGCUGGCGGCAUGCCUAACACAUGCAAGUCGAACGGAGAUAUUUGGAAGCUUGCUUUUGGAUAUCUUAGUGGCGGACGGGCGAGUAACGCGUGAGCAACCUGGCCUUCAGAGUGGAACAACGUCUGGAAACGGGCGCUAAUACCGCAUAACACAAGAGAGUCGCAUGGCUUUUUGUCAAAGGAGAAAUCCGCUGAAGGAUGGGCUCGCGUCCGAUUAGCUAGAUGGGGUGGUAACGGCACACCAUGGCGACGAUCGGUAGCCGACCUGAGAGGGUGAUCGGCCACAUUGGGACUGAGACACGGCCCAAACUCCUACGGGAGGCAGCA
rnacentral:rRNA from 1 species